AAAACGGCCCUUUUCAGGGCCAUCAUAAUUAAUCCCCAUAAGGAAGU
rfam:Aedes albopictus isolate Foshan contig124568, whole genome shotgun sequence.